UACGAAGGGGGCUAGCGUUGUUCGGAUUUACUGGGCGUAAAGCGCACGUAGGCGGAUUGUUAAGUCAGGGGUGAAAUCCUGGAGCUCAACUCCAGAACUGCCUUUGAUACUGGCAAUCUCGAGUCCGGAAGAGGUAAGUGGAACUCCUAGUGUAGAGGUGGAAUUCGUAGAUAUUAGGAAGAACACCAGUGGCGAAGGCGGCUCACUGGACUGGUAUUGACGCUGAGGUGCGAAAGCGUGGGGAGCAAACAGG
rnacentral:rRNA from 1 species